rnacentral:ncRNA from 1 species
CACAUAGGGGUGCUGCAAAGCAUUGUGGCUGAGAACAUACCCUGUAAAACUUGAUCCGGAUAAUACCGGCGUAAGGAAUGGAAUUA